CCUAGUCAUUGCAGCCUAAAAUAUUCAAUCCUUUUGUUUCAUCUUUUAUGUAAAUGGCUAGGAUUAAAGUCUCUGCCAAGAAGAAGAGGAGCAUGGCGUCUGCUAGAGCUCAACACUUGCAGCAGGAGUAUCAACUUCCUCUUGUUCUUGCCCUGCCAGCUCAACUCACCAGAAAUAGGUAUGCCCAUUUAAAUUUAAAUCAGAUAUUGUUCCUUACCCUUCUAAUUUAAUUCUUUGACACAUCUGCAGAGGCGAUUAGGAAGAUCUCCUUCUGCAACUCAAAAGGAACCUUGAGGAACUUCGACUUAAUCUGGAACAUGUCGAAAGCAAACUCAGCUCAAAGCCCAACAAAGAAGCAUGAAGGGAAAUGGAAAUAAGGGAAAUUUCAAGGACAAUAAAUGUAUCUCGUAGUUUUGCUUUGCUCUUCUUUUUUCACCUUCUCUUACUACUGAGUUGGUGUUGGGUCUGCUUCAAACUUUU